CCCCCGAGUGCUCGUGCUUCCGAUCGCCAGCAGCCAGCCCUAGCGCAGUUCCGAUGGCCCGCACGAAGCAGACGGCGAGGAAGUCCACCGGCGGCAAGGCACCGAGGAAGCAGCUGGCGACGAAGGCGCGCGGAAGUCUGCCCCGGCGACCGGCGGAGUGAAGAAGCCCCACCGCUUCCGCCCGGGGACCGUCGCGCUCCGUGAGAUCCGCAAGUACCAGAAGAGCACGGAGCUGCUCAUCCGCAAGCUGCCGUUCCAGCGGCUGGUGCGCGAGAUCGCGCAGGACUUCAAGACCGACCUCCGCUUCCAGAACUCCGCCGUCGCCGCGCUGCAGGAGGCCGCGGAGGCCUACCUCGUCGGGCUCUUCGAGGACACCAACCUCUGCGCCAUCCACGCCAAGCGCGUCACCAUCAUGCCCAAGGACAUCCAGCUUGCCCGCCGCAUCCGUGGGGAGAGGGCGUAGUGUGUGUGUGCGCCUCGUCGCCUGAUCUGGAGUUGUGCAGAGCUAGAUGUUACUUGUUCCUUUUUAGCCCAUGUCCCUUGUCGUUCUGGUGUUCUUGUGUUAUACAGCUUGCCAGUGUCUGAUGUUAUCGGCUCAUUACCAUCAGCAAUGGAAAAUAUCAUUGUCCGUGUCUCCAAGGUUUGUUUA